UUCAGUUGUUACAGUAUUUCAAGCAAGCGUGUCCUCUCCAACUGCUAGCUACAUCACCCUGUAACCUCCAUGUGUGCCCUUGCCAAGCAUUAGUCUUCAAUGUUUGCCCGCAGAAGAAGAUCAGAAGAAGAGCCGUUCCAGUGCUCUCUCUGCUUGGAUGUAUUUAGUGAUCCAGUCACCACCAGUUGUGGACACAAUUUCUGCAUGGCCUGUCUCAAUGAAUACUGGGAUAGCAGACACCAGUAUCAAUGUCCACUAUGUCAGGAGAGAUUCCCCAGAAGACCUAACCUAGUUGUCAACACAGCAUUCAGAGAUGUUGUUGAUAGAUUUAAAGCAAGAAGAACAGCCCCUGCCCUUUACCCUGGAAUUGUUUGGAUCACGGUCCUGAUCUUGGUCACGAUCUUUGUCCUGAUUUUGGUGUUUGUGGCAGACCUGGGUCAGCUCUCACCGCAUCUCCUACAGGAUCUCCCAUCCAAGGACAGAUCUGGGAAGGACUGGUGGUGGAGACAGUGAGAGGAACUUCAGAAUGGACUGGGCUAUACUUGGUAGUUUAAAAAAAUAUAUAUAUAUAUACAGUUGAAGUCUGAAGUUUACGUACAUCUGAGCC